rnacentral:lncRNA from 1 species
AUGGCUCCAUGGCUUUGUCCACUCUGUUCAGGCUUGUUGGGAUGUCCGCUCCCCUCUUCCCACUUUGACUUGAUGGACACUGAGUCCUCAUUUGGUACUAAAGGCACUGCAAGCUUUCCCUACUCCUGGAAGCCUUUUCUGACUCCCUUCCUGUCCCCUCCCAGUUUAGAUUGGCUUCUCUCUCCAAAGCUCUGCUGCUCUGCUUUAUAUGGACUCCUAACCGUAUGCUUCAUUACACUGAGUUACCAGCCCUCCUUGCCUCAAACCUGGAAUCCCUGAUGUGGGGCCACGUCCAUGAAGAAGUACCAGGGACCACCAGCUGGACCUAAUUAAUGAUCCAGACACCAUCAGCUCUGAUCAGUCUCCUUGGCAAGACUGCACAUCCCUGAGCCAGAGUCUGCUGCUUAGUCAAGAGGGGGAGAUGUCCUAAUUUCAGUGUUUGGAAAUGUCUUCUUGGACAUUUUUAAGCCACUGAGUGCUCAGAUGAGCUCCUGCUGUUUUGUGCUGCCUCCCUGGACCAUGUGUGUCACAGCUGGAGCCUCUGCAGCAGUCCCACAGUCUAGAGCAUGAUGUGUCAUCAGCCUCCCUCAAUCCUGGUAUGCAUCUGCUGCUUUCUUGACAGUAGUACAGAGCUUCUCAAAUGUUUCCAUACAGUGGCUCAGAUGACUCCAGAGCAUUGAGAGUAUAGAACCUGGAAGCCUGGAAGUCCAGUCUAAAGCAACCAGCUCUAAAUCUGAAAACAUUUUAUGACUCCCUUCAUCUUAAACAUUUUUACAAAUUAAGUAUUUAAUUUUGUGUUUUUUGAUUAUUAAAUAUAGUAUUUCCCCCCCCCAAUUUUUAAGUAAAGUGGCCCCAGGAAAACAUGCCCUAUGUGGACCUUUUUGCUUUGUGUAGCCCACAUACCAUUUAACUGUGCAAUUAUGCACCCUCCACUUUGAGAAAAAUGGAUGAUGGAACGUGGAGGAAUCUGAGUUCAGUUCCUGGCUUUGUCAUUUAGGAAUUAUGUGAUCCUGCUAUGUCUGGGUGGCUCAGUUGGUUGAGUGUCUGCCUUUGGUUCAGGGCAUGAUCCUGGAGUCCUGGGAUGGAGUCUCGCAUCAGGCUUCCCAUGGGGAGCCUGCUUCUCCCUCUCUCUAUGUCUCUGCCUCUCUCUCUGUGUCUCUCAUGAAUGAAUAAAUAAAAUCUUUGAAAAAAAAGCACAAAAAAACAACAAAAAAAGGAAUUAUGUGAUCUUGGAAAGUUAAUUAAAGUCUCCAAUUUUCAGUUUCUCCAUCUGUAAAAGGGGGAUUAAAGACACCAAACACAUGAUUAUUGUGGAGACAGAGCUGUAUAUGUAGAUUGCCUGUCAUGGUCCUGUGGAUGUCGUGAGUGCUCCACCAACUAGCUACUUGCCUUUCACUCUGUUUCCUCAUUUUCCAAAGAAAUUAUUCCUCCCAUCCCUCCAGCCUCCAGCCUAGAGAAAGGACCAGAUGGGGUAUAGGUAUAAUCUUGUCCAUCCCUCUGCCUCUGCCAAGUCUGCAAUUCCCAAGCACCCUAAAACGAGAGCUGUCUGACCGUAUCCUAAAAUUCCUCAGACAAGCAAACUUCAAUCAAUUGGCAAUUCAUUUCAGCUCACAGAAUUGUUCUUUUGCCUAUUCAUCUGCCCACAACAAACAUACAUUGACCUAUCUACACUGGGCACUGUGCCAGGUCUCAGAAAUAUAAAGACAUUUCACAUGAUUCCCUUCCUUAAGAUCCUCAUAAUAUAGUAAGGAAAACCUGAAAACAAGUAAUUGCAAUGCAAGUAAUUAGUACUAUGAUGAAAAUAUCCAGAAACUCUUAUAAGUCACAUACGAUGGACAUCUUUCAGGAGCUGGGAGCAAAGGGAUUGCACAGGAUUAUUAGAAAUGCUUCCCAAAUGAGGGGACACCUGAACUAAGACCUGAGGAGCAAAGGUAAGAAGGAAUUUUUGAAGGUCUGUUUUAGGCAAAAUCUCAGAGAUAGCAUGAUUCAGCGAAGGGAAAGCUAUUAAAUAAGACAAAGCAUAGAUAUCAUGAGGAAUGGUAAAGAGAACGAGAUGGUAGACAGUGUACACAUCCAACUUUGCUCUCAUGAAAGUGGACUAUAUAAAUCUGAAGACAGAGCGAAGAGAAAGGUUACUGUAGUAAUCUGGGUAGCAUGUUGAAAGUCUAACCUAAUGGCUGAGAGAGAAUCAGAAGUCAGGGAUUAAAAGUCCUGAAGGAGGUAAAACCUUAAUAAAAGAGAGAAUCAGAAGUCAGGGAUUAAAAGUCCUGAAGGAGGUAAAACCUUCAGGAUACUUGGUAUCAUAUCAGUCUAGAGUCGUUGCUAAAAGAAAAGGUAAUAGAAACAUUGGUUGAGAAAUUUUAUGUUUUAGACCUGACAAUGGUAAGAAACAAUCACGUUAUUUGUUUUUUUUAGUGUAUAAAGAGUAUGCUAUCUGUUGCUGAACUAAAUAAUAAAAAUUAAAGUUUCCAAUCAUUUUAUUUUUAAUUGCUAAUGAAGUCUGUGAAGUCAAUAUAAUAUCUUCACAUUGAUGGGAGAAAUAUGCAUUAUAAUAAUAAUGUGUGUUAAGAUUUAUUAUAAACAUAGAGUACUUUUAUACACAUUUGCUCAUUUGAUUCUCCAAAUGGCCCUAUGAGAUAAACAUUUAUCCUCAUUUUACAGGCAAGGAAACUGAGGCACAGAUUUACUUGAGACCACUCACUUGCCAA